GCGCAGCAGUCGCGAAAACUUCACACUGUGCGAAAGCACGAUGAGGGAAUCCCAAGUGCUUGCACGUAAGUGUAAGCUGUUUCUCUGUCUAAAACGCAGAGAGAGUAAGGGCUGGGUAAGACGGGUGCCAGCCGCCGCGGUAAUACCUGCAGCUCAAGUGGUGACCGUUAUUAUUGGGCCUAAAACGUCCGUAGCCGGUUUAAUAAAUGCCUGGGUAAAUUGUGUAGCUUAACUAUACGAAUUCCGGGUAGACUGUUAAACUUGAGACCGGGAGAAGUUAGAGGUACUCCUGGGGUAGAGGUGAAAUUCUGUAAUCCUAGGGGGACCACCAGUGGCGAAGGCGUCUAACUAGAACGGGUCUGACGGUGAGGGACGAAGCCCUGGGGCGCAAACGGGAUUAGAUA
rnacentral:rRNA from 1 species